rnacentral:rRNA from 1 species
CCUACGGGUGGCACCAGUGGGGAAUAUUGGACAAUGGGCGCAAGCCUGAUCCAGCCAUACCGCGUGGGUGAAGAAGGCCUUCGGGUUGUAAAGCCCUUUUGUUGGGAAAGAAAAGCAGCCGGUUAAUACCCGGUUGUUCUGACGGUACCCAAAGAAUAAGCACCGGCUAACUUCGUGCCAGCAGCCGCGGUAAUACGAAGGGUGCAAGCGUUACUCGGAAUUACUGGGCGUAAAGCGUGCGUAGGUGGUUGUUUAAGUCUGUCGUGAAAGCCCUGGGCUCAACCUGGGAAUGGCGAUGGAAACUGGGCGACUAGAGUGUGGCAGAGGGUAGUGGAAUUCCUGGUGUAGCAGUGAAAUGCGUAGAGAUCAGGAGGAACAUCCGUGGCGAAGGCGACUGCCUGGGCCAACACUGACACUGAGGCACGAAAGCGUGGGGAGCAAACAGGAUUAGAUACCCUAGUAGUC